rnacentral:lncRNA from 1 species
CUCCAUUUCCGCUCGGCUGCCCGGAGCCUUGUUCUGUGAGCUCGUAGUGAGUCGUCGAGCCACGGAGCAGGAGGGGAGGACCGAGCCGGCCUGGAGGAUAGGGGACAGAGAAAAUCAAAGGAUGCAGAAAGGGAGGAGAGGAGGGUUGAGGAGGCAGAAUCAGGAGAUAGGUUGGAGAAGGUUUGAGCAGAGGGAAGAGAUGAUAGGAUGGAAGAGGAGAGAGUAGCGGGAGAGAGAGAGCGAAGGUUGGGACGGCGCAAUACCAUCCGAGUAGGGGCAGAGUGAGAAGUGGUUCCUUGGAAGUUGUGGGAAUGUAUGUUUUUGGUUUCACAUUGGUUGUGGAGACGAAGCCAUACGUUUCCUGACCUGUUAAACUGAACAUUUAAAAUCCCUGAGAACAGAAGUGACAAUUUAGUCUGUUCUGGGAAUGUUUAGUUUUAGGUUGCAGGGAGGUUCUGAGAACGUUUUACCCUUGUUCCUUGAAUGUUUUCCUAUGAGGUUUUAUUAACACUCUGAUAAUGGAAAUUAUAGGUUAACUGGAGGGUUUUAAUUAACUUCCUUAAAACUUUCACUGAAUGUUUCAAUAAGACUUUUAAUAACACUACUAGCUUAUUUUGUGUUAACUUUUUUUGAACUCCAAGCACAAAUAAGACACAUGGAAAUGUAUUUCCUUAGGCAUUAAUCGUGCAAAUACAUUUAUUUUUUAUUGUGACACAGCAUCAGUGAGAUCCAAACCUAUAAUCUUUUGUUCUCGAUCCUUGGAAUAAGUCCACUAAGUCACCAGGAUGGCGAUAGCGUGUCAUGUUUUUUUUUUACACAUAAAAGGCUGUUCCUUUUAGUCUAUUCAAACAGACCCUAUUUCAAAGGAAACAAGCACUCAUUAAUAUCAGGUGUGGCCAAUUAGUGGGGACGGGCAACACACCUGAACACACUUAACAAGAUAGAGGAUAGAGUUUUGUUGCUGCUGAGAACGGAAUAUAUAUGUUUUUAAAUAACAUUCUUAGAACAUUCUCUGAACGUUACUAAAGUUUUAUUGUGUUUUUUAUGGAAUGUUUUCUUAACGUUCUCUGAACAAUUUGAGAACAUAACUUUAAAUAGAACCAUGUGGAAACCUGUAGAAAAUGUUAUGCUGCCGUACUAAAAUUCCCACAGAAGAAUUGUUUUUCUUAAUAUUCUCUGAACUAUUUGAGAAUAUUCCCAAUGUCAAACCAGUUGGAGAACAUUCCUAGAACAUUACCAACAUUUAAUGUUUGACAUUUUAGGAAAGGUUAUGUUAAAGAAAUAAGUAAUAUGUUCACUUGUAUCUUAGUUGGUAGAGCAUAGCACUUCUAAUGCCAGGGUAGUGGGUUCGAUUCCCAGGACCACCCAUACGCAAAAUGAAUGCACGCAUGAGUGUAAGUCGCUUAGGAUAAAUGCAUCUGCUAAAUGGCUUAUAUUAUUAAUAAAAUAUCAAGAAAAUAAAGUUUGUUUGUCAAGUUCCUUAAAUGUGCUAAGAAUGUUCCAAAGCCAAGCAACUAUCCUGCACCAUUCCCAGAAAGUUGGGGGAAGGUUGUAUGCAAAAUAACUAUAGGACAACCACGCUCUCACCAAGCUCUAAGAAACAUAUGGUUCUCAGAACGUUAUGUGCUAGCUGGGGCAAUAAGAAUUGAUGUAUAAACAUUUAUUUGAGCAAAUUUCUUUGUUUUGUGUUGAAUAAAAAUGUAUUAAUGUCAAGAGUUAUGCAGCUAGCCUAUACAGCAGGUGCAAAUUACAAAAUCUUCCAGAAGUGUCAUAUCUCUUCCACCUUUCCAUUUAUCUCCACAUUUUGAAGGAGAGAGCGAUCGUUUUGGAGCAGCCGCAAGAGCAGGUGGAGUGGCAUUGCUGACAGGCCAGGCCAGGACUAGGGUUGCCUACCCCUAUUAGUAAAUGCUAAUGAACUGAAUAUUGUUUGUGAAUUUCCAUAUUUCUAUAACGUUUCAAGUAAGACCCAAGUGCAGACUGUGUUGAAGUUAUAAUGUUUAUUACAGCAACAUGGGCAGGCAUACGACAGGUCAAGGCAGGCAGGGGUCGAUAAUCCAGAGUGGUGGGGCAAAGGUACAGGAUGGCAGGCAGGCUCAAGGUCAGGUCAGGCAGAGGUCGGUAAUCCUGAGUAGGCGCAACGGUACAGGACGGCAGGCAGGCUCAGGGUAGGCAGAGUGGUCAGGCAGGCUCAGAGUCCAGACAGGCAAGGGUCAAAACCAGGAGGGCGAGAAAAAGAGAGUCUGGGGAAAGCAGGAGCUGAUUGACUUGACAAACAAAACAAACUGGCAACAGACAAACAGAUAAUACAGGUAUAAAUACACAGGGUAAAAUGGGCGACACCUGGAGGGGGGUGAGACAGGUGAAACAGAUCAGGGCGUGACAAUAUCAAUGAUGCUAAUAUCAAUGAGUUGAAUUGUUCAACAUGUGCAGUAAAAGUUAGCACGGCAUUGGUGAUGAAAGGUACACUGCAUGCUGUGACAUGUGCCUGGAUGGUGACACAUCUUCAAGGUUCCUGACUGAAUACUGUGGCCUUCGGUGGUACCGGAAGGAAGGGCCUUACCUGGGAGUACAGCAACACUCUCUCUCUCUCUGAUUCACAGCCAUUCUGUCAACCACAGGAGGUUGGUGGCACCUUAACUGGGGAGGACAGGCUCGCAAUGGCUGGAGUGGUAUAAGUGCAAUGGUAUCAAAUACAUCAAACACAUGGUUUCCAUGUGUUUGAUGACAUUCCAUUCGCUCUGUUCCAGUCAUUAUUAUGAGCCAUUCUCCCCUCAGAAGCCUCAACUGCUGUUAACAUGUAUUGUAUGUAACCGCUCAAAUUCAUACAAACUGCUACGGACACAAUCACUGACUUAUAUUCACUUAUCCCAUUCACUCUUGUCUGGGAUAUACAGUAUAUUUUAGUUGACACAUCUGUGUGAUGUGUCUGAUAUACAUGAAUAAACAUGUAUUCACCCUGGACAUGAGAGUUGCA